rnacentral:rRNA from 1 species
UACGUAGGCAGCAAGCGUUGUUCGGAAUUACUGGGCGUAAAGAGUGUGUAGGCGGUGCCCUAAGUUCGGUGUGAAAUCUCCCGGCUUAACUGGGAGGGUGCGCCGGAAACUGGAGUGCUUGAGCGCGGGAGAGGAAAGCGGAAUUCCUGGUGUAGCGGUGAAAUGCGUAGAUAUCAGGAGGAACACCUGUGGUGUAGACGGCUUUCUGGACCGUAGCUGACGCUGAGACACGAAAGCGUGGGUAGCAAACAGG